GGGGGUGUGGCUCAGUGGUAGAGCGCGCGCUUAGCAUGCGCGAGGCCCUGGGUUCAAUCCCCAGCACCUCCA